rnacentral:rRNA from 8 species
UUAAGCGACUAAGCGUACACGGUGGAUGCCCUGGCAGUCAGAGGCGAUGAAGGACGUGCUAAUCUGCGAUAAGCGUCGGUGAGGUGAUAUGAACCGUUAUAACCGGCGAUUUCCGAAUGGGGAAACCCAGUGUGUUUCGACACACUAUCAUUAACUGAAUCCAUAGGUUAAUGAGGCGAACCGGGGGAACUGAAACAUCUAAGUACCCCGAGGAAAAGAAAUCAACCGAGAUUCCCCCAGUAGCGGCGAGCGAACGGGGAGGAGCCCAGAGCCUGAAUCAGUGUGUGUGUUAGUGGAAGCGUCUGGAAAGGCGUGCGAUACAGGGUGACAGCCCCGUACACAAAAAUGCACAUAUUGUGAGCUCGAUGAGUAGGGCGGGACACGUGGUAUCCUGUCUGAAUAUGGGGGGACCAUCCUCCAAGGCUAAAUACUCCUGACUGACCGAUAGUGAACCAGUACCGUGAGGGAAAGGCGAAAAGAACCCCGGCGAGGGGAGUGAAAAAGAACCUGAAACCGUGUACGUACAAGCAGUGGGAGCCUCUUAAUGGGGUGACUGCGUACCUUUUGUAUAAUGGGUCAGCGACUUAUAUUCUGUAGCAAGGUUAACCGAAUAGGGGAGCCGAAGGGAAACCGAGUCUUAACUGGGCGUUAAGUUGCAGGGUAUAGACCCGAAACCCGGUGAUCUAGCCAUGGGCAGGUUGAAGGUUGGGUAACACUAACUGGAGGACCGAACCGACUAAUGUUGAAAAAUUAGCGGAUGACUUGUGGCUGGGGGUGAAAGGCCAAUCAAACCGGGAGAUAGCUGGUUCUCCCCGAAAGCUAUUUAGGUAGCGCCUCGUGAAUUCAUCUCCGGGGGUAGAGCACUGUUUCGGCAAGGGGGUCAUCCCGACUUACCAACCCGAUGCAAACUGCGAAUACCGGAGAAUGUUAUCACGGGAGACACACGGCGGGUGCUAACGUCCGUCGUGAAGAGGGAAACAACCCAGACCGCCAGCUAAGGUCCCAAAGUCAUGGUUAAGUGGGAAACGAUGUGGGAAGGCCCAGACAGCCAGGAUGUUGGCUUAGAAGCAGCCAUCAUUUAAAGAAAGCGUAAUAGCUCACUGGUCGAGUCGGCCUGCGCGGAAGAUGUAACGGGGCUAAACCAUGCACCGAAGCUGCGGCAGCGACACUAUGUGUUGUUGGGUAGGGGAGCGUUCUGUAAGCCUGUGAAGGUGGCCUGUGAGGGUUGCUGGAGGUAUCAGAAGUGCGAAUGCUGACAUAAGUAACGAUAAAGCGGGUGAAAAGCCCGCUCGCCGGAAGACCAAGGGUUCCUGUCCAACGUUAAUCGGGGCAGGGUGAGUCGACCCCUAAGGCGAGGCCGAAAGGCGUAGUCGAUGGGAAACAGGUUAAUAUUCCUGUACUUGGUGUUACUGCGAAGGGGGGACGGAGAAGGCUAUGUUGGCCGGGCGACGGUUGUCCCGGUUUAAGCGUGUAGGCUGGUUUUCCAGGCAAAUCCGGAAAACCAAGGCUGAGGCGUGAUGACGAGGCACUACGGUGCUGAAGCGACAAAUGCCCUGCUUCCAGGAAAAGCCUCUAAGCAUCAGGUAACAUCAAAUCGUACCCCAAACCGACACAGGUGGUCAGGUAGAGAAUACCAAGGCGCUUGAGAGAACUCGGGUGAAGGAACUAGGCAAAAUGGUGCCGUAACUUCGGGAGAAGGCACGCUGAUAUGUAGGUGAAGCGACUUGCUCGUGGAGCUGAAAUCAGUCGAAGAUACCAGCUGGCUGCAACUGUUUAUUAAAAACACAGCACUGUGCAAACACGAAAGUGGACGUAUACGGUGUGACGCCUGCCCGGUGCCGGAAGGUUAAUUGAUGGGGUUAGCGGCAACGCGAAGCUCUUGAUCGAAGCCCCGGUAAACGGCGGCCGUAACUAUAACGGUCCUAAGGUAGCGAAAUUCCUUGUCGGGUAAGUUCCGACCUGCACGAAUGGCGUAAUGAUGGCCAGGCUGUCUCCACCCGAGACUCAGUGAAAUUGAACUCGCUGUGAAGAUGCAGUGUACCCGCGGCAAGACGGAAAGACCCCGUGAACCUUUACUAUAGCUUGACACUGAACAUUGAGCCUUGAUGUGUAGGAUAGGUGGGAGGCUUUGAAGUGUGGACGCCAGUCUGCAUGGAGCCGACCUUGAAAUACCACCCUUUAAUGUUUGAUGUUCUAACGUUGGCCCGUAAUCCGGGUUGCGGACAGUGUCUGGUGGGUAGUUUGACUGGGGCGGUCUCCUCCUAAAGAGUAACGGAGGAGCACGAAGGUUGGCUAAUCCUGGUCGGACAUCAGGAGGUUAGUGCAAUGGCAUAAGCCAGCUUGACUGCGAGCGUGACGGCGCGAGCAGGUGCGAAAGCAGGUCAUAGUGAUCCGGUGGUUCUGAAUGGAAGGGCCAUCGCUCAACGGAUAAAAGGUACUCCGGGGAUAACAGGCUGAUACCGCCCAAGAGUUCAUAUCGACGGCGGUGUUUGGCACCUCGAUGUCGGCUCAUCACAUCCUGGGGCUGAAGUAGGUCCCAAGGGUAUGGCUGUUCGCCAUUUAAAGUGGUACGCGAGCUGGGUUUAGAACGUCGUGAGACAGUUCGGUCCCUAUCUGCCGUGGGCGCUGGAGAACUGAGGGGGGCUGCUCCUAGUACGAGAGGACCGGAGUGGACGCAUCACUGGUGUUCGGGUUGUCAUGCCAAUGGCACUGCCCGGUAGCUAAAUGCGGAAGAGAUAAGUGCUGAAAGCAUCUAAGCACGAAACUUGCCCCGAGAUGAGUUCUCCCUGAGACUUAGAGUCUCCUGAAGGAACGUUGAAGACGACGACGUUGAUAGGCCGGGUGUGUAAGCGCAGCGAUGCGUUGAGCUAACCGGUACUAAUGAACCGUGAGGCUUAACCUU